rnacentral:tRNA from 1 species
GCGGGCGUGAUGGAAUGGCAGACAUGCAAGAUUUAGGUUCUUGUGCCGCAAGGCGUGCGGGUUCAAAUCCCGCCGCCCGCACCA